UUAAAUUGAAGAGUUUGAUCAUGGCUCAGAUUGAACGCUGGCGGCAGGCCUAACACAUGCAAGUCGAACGGUAACAGGAAGCAGCUUGCUGCUUUGCUGACGAGUGGCGGACGGGUGAGUAAUGUCUGGGAAACUGCCUGAUGGAGGGGGAUAACUACUGGAAACGGUGGCUAAUACCGCAUAACGUCGCAAGACCAAAGAGGGGGACCUUCGGGCCUCUUGCCAUCAGAUGUGCCCAGAUGGGAUUAGCUAGUUGGUGAGGUAACGGCUCACCAAGGCGACGAUCCCUAGCUGGUCUGAGAGGAUGACCAGCCACACUGGAACUGAGACACGGUCC
rnacentral:rRNA from 1 species